rnacentral:rRNA from 1 species
GAUGAACGCUGGCGGCGUGCCUAAUACAUGCAAGUCGAGCGAACGGACGAGAAGCUUGCUUCUCUGAUGUUAGCGGCGGACGGGUGAGUAACACGUGGAUAACCUACCUAUAAGACUGGGAUAACUUCGGGAAACCGGAGCUAAUACCGGAUGAUAUUUUGAACCGCAUGGUUCAAAAGUGAAAGACGGUCUUGCUGUCUCUUAUAGAUGGAUCCGCGCUGCAUUAGCUAGUUGGUAAGGUAACGGCUUACCAAGGCAACGAUGCAUAGCCGACCUGAGAGGGUGAUAGGCCGCACUGGAACUGAGACACGGUCCAGACUCCUACGGGAGGCAGCAGUAGGGAAUCUUACGCAAUGGGCGAAAGCAUGACGGAGCAACGCCGCGUGAGUGAUGAAGGUCUUCGGAUCGUAAAAAUCUGUUAUUAGGGAAGAACAGAUGUGUAAGUAAAUGUGCACAUCUUGACGGUACCUAAUCAGAAAGCCACGGCUAACUACGUG